rnacentral:rRNA from 1 species
UACGGGGGGGGCAAGCGUUGUUCGGAAUUACUGGGCGUAAAGGGCUCGUAGGUGGCCAACUAAGUCAGAUGUGAAAUCCCUCGGCUUAACCGGGGAACUGCGUCUGAUACUGGAUGGCUUGAGUUCGGGAGAGGGAUGCAGAAUUCCAGGUGUAGCGGUGAAAUGCGUAGAUAUCUGGAGGAAUACCGGUGGCGAAGGCGGCAUCCUGGACCGGCAUUGACGCUGAGGAGCGAAAGCGUGGGGAGCAAACAGG